rnacentral:rRNA from 1 species
UAGGGAAUCUUCCACAAUGGACGCAAGUCUGAUGGAGCAACGCCGCAUGAGUGAAGAAGAUCUUCGGAUCGUAAAACUCUGUUGUUAGAGAAGAACACGAGUGAGAGUAACUGUUCAUUCGAUGACGGUAUCUAACCAGCAAGUCACGGCUAACUACGUGCCAC